GUCGUUCGCCGCUGCUUCGCGGGGAGGAGGGGUUGCGGGGGUUGCAGCGGUUGUGGGGGCUUCAGGGGCCGCGUAGCGGCUUCCCUUGGGCCCAAAAAAGGGAGGGUCUCUCUGGCCCUAAAAUUCAUCCAGGGCUGGUGUCUGUCGGAGGGCGGGUGAGGCUGCUUCUGGGCUGGGUGCGGUGUUUUGAGAUGGGUUUUUCCCAACCUGGCCACAAGACAAUUUAGGAGCUGACUCCUGAGAAAUUCUUCAUAAAUGCAAUAAGAAAAACUCGUAUGCAGAAAUACAUGGAUUCUUCCCCCUUUUCUUUGAUUCCUGGGCUGCUCCAUGUCUGUGUUGGGAUAAUAAGAUUAUUACCUCAUUUCUUGUGCUGAAAACGGAAGAUAAUCCCCUCCAGGACUGAGAUGGAGGUAUUUUGCUCCGGGAUUUCCUCUUCCUGGACAAACACCUGGCGCAGUCGGUAGGAUUCCUCUGAACCUGAAAUCUGUUAUAAUGGGUGCGACCUUUGGGAAGGCCGCCCCAAGAAAUGAUGGGGAGAAGUGGCGCUCGCGCUGAGGGACAUCUGUCUACACUCAUGUGGUUGUGGAGGUACCACCACAGCUGCUGGCCACGCCGACCCAGCCCGUGGCCCGAGCCUAAGGCUACUGUUCUGCUACUGCUGCUGCUCCUGCUGCCGGCCGGAGCCUGGCCACAACCAUGGAAAGGAGCAGAGGUCCGGGUCACCUUGAUAGAGAAGCAACUGGCUGCUGUGUACCACACCUUGCUGGCUAGGGAACCCAUCACAGGAACAGCUCCGACCAAGGUAAUAACCACCUAUUCCAUCCGCGGGGUGGGUGAGAGACUGGACCCAAAGGCCAUGGGUGGUGUGGCACAGACACCUACUGUAUUCAUGUGACUGGCCAUUUGCCUUUGGCAUCCCCAGGGGAUGGUAAAGCAGACGCAUUGGCCCAGGUGUGCUGGCUAGAAGAAAAGCCUGCCUCUGAUGUGGCCAAAUGGUUACGUCAGCGUUUGUUGCACGUGGGGCAAAAGGCAAUGUGAGCUGUAGCCUGUCGGUGGGGCUUGCCUUUGACCUUUGAAGAAGUCAGCCGAGCCCAGAAGGAGUGCCCUGCACGUUGUGCAGAUCAGCAAACCACCAAGAGGGGCCUAGAGCGUCUCUUUGCAGACUAUGGCUGGUCGCCGGUGAUUGAGAGUGAUCAAGGCACCCUCUUUUUUGGACAUGGGUUGAAAGGAUGGGUGCAGCUAUUAAGAAUAAAAUGGAUGUGGCCCUUGACAUUUUGGCACAUGACCGGCGAUGGCUGGCUCUUCUGGCACUUAAGGGAAAAGACAUGGAAAGCUGGCCUCCUGUGUAUUCCUGGAAUAACAGCGAAUUGGACCCCCACAAUCACGGUUGCUUUCUCCUACAGUUCUUGUGUCCUGGAAGCGCCCUCUGGCUGCAGCUGCUGCGUGAUGGCUGGAAUGGACGAGCUUUGGACUUAAUCUGAAUGCGACCUUGAACCUAGCUGAAUCCUCUGGCUUGAGAAUUAUCACGAUUGUGUUGCUCUUGUCAAGAAAAAAAUGCUUAAAGAGAGGCUUGACUUUGUCUAAUGUUUGGUAAAAGUUUUGUGAGCAAUAUAGCAUGGUUGUUACGAAUGAGUAAACAAGUGUAGAAACAUUUUGUUCUUAGUGAUAGAUUGUGCUGUAAAGUACAUUUACUUAAUCUGCAUAGGCUGAAUCCUCUGGUUUGAGGAUUAUCAAGAUUUUAUUGCUAUUGCUAUGUAUGUUACUAGAUUGGUCAGAAGAGGGGGGACGAGUAAAUUGUAAGGCGAGACUUGGAGGGGUGGCCUGUUGAUAAAACUGUAACAUUUCCAGAAUAUCUCGCCUGGCUUUAGUAUAUCUGCAUAUCAAUAGGCGUUCAUAGGUGGAAAGAAGUGUGGCUUUAGUGCCUUUGCAUCAUUCCUAAGGGGUGGAGAGAAGUUCAUCUCCCUAUCAAUGGGUAAUUACCCCGGCAAGGAGGGCUUAUCUGUACCUGAGAGGUGAGGGGGAGGGCCAGUUUUGCUGCUACUUGUACUGGAGAGAGAGAUGGGCAGGACUGCACUUUUGUAAGCAAUAAAUGAAUUUUAAACUUUAUUUCUCCCUUUGACUGAUUUCGGUUUUUAGAGGUAUUUUGCCCCGGGAUUUCCUCUCUGCAGACUUACAGUUGGAAAUACUUUAUGUAUGAUAGACUAUACAUACUUCAAGUGUAUCCGUUCAUGGGUUUUGACAUGUAUUGUCAUGAAAUUGUUACCACAAUUAAGUUAAUGAACAUGUUAGUCCUAUAAGUUUACUUAUGCCCUUUUGUAAAUCAUCCCUUCCUAUCUCCAUCCAUCCCCAAACAACCAUUGACCUCCUUUUCUGUCACUAUAUAUUAAUUUGCAUUUUCUAAAAUGUUAUAUAAAUGGAAGCAAACAGUAGGUACUCUUUA